rnacentral:rRNA from 1 species
CACGUAGGGGCCAAGCGUUGUCCGGAUUUAUUGGGCGUAAAGAGCUCGUAGGCGGUUGGGUAAGUCGGGUGUGAAAACUCCAGGCUCAACUUGGAGACGCCACCCGAUACUGCUCUGACUUGAGUUCGGUAGGGGAGUGGGGAAUUCCUGGUGUAGCGGUGAAAUGCGCAGAUAUCAGGAGGAACACCAGUGGCGAAGGCGGCUUCCUGGACCGACACUGACGCUGAGGCGCGAAAGCUAGGGGAGCAAACGGG